rnacentral:ncRNA from 2 species
GUUAUAUUUCUCGCAUACGGUUCUUAUUUUUCAGUCGAAAUUUAAGAUAAUAGGGAAUCCGGUGCGAAGUUUGGCGUAACGCAAACAUCAAUACCGGGGCUGCCCCCGCAACUGUAAUCAGAGAGUUAUUUUGUAUUUCUCGCCACUGAAUUUUAGUGAAUUAAAAUUUGGGAAGGCUAGCAAAAUAAUGAUGACCUGAAAGCCAGGAGACCUGCCGUAGACAUUUUUCACAC